rnacentral:rRNA from 1 species
GUGAAGCGGCAACAGCUCAAAUUUGAAAUCUGGCCUUCGGGCCCGAGUUGUAAUUUGUAGAGGAUGCUUUUGGUGAGGUACCUUCCGAGUUCCCUGGAACGGGACGCCAUAGAGGGUGAGAGCCCCGUCUGGUUGGAUACCAAUCCUCUGUAAAGCUCCUUCGACGAGUCGAGUAGUUUGGGAAUGCUGCUCUAAAUGGGAGGUAUAUGUCUUCUAAAGCUAAAUACCGGCCAGAGACCGAUAGCGCACAAGUAGAGUGAUCGAAAGAUGAAAAGCACUUUGAAAAGAGAGUUAAAAAGUACGUGAAAUUGUUGAAAGGGAAGCGCUUAUGACCAGACUUGGGCUUGGUUGAUCAUCCUGGGUUCUCCCUGGUGCACUCUUCCAGUUCAGGCCAGCAUCAGUUCGCUGCGGGGGAUAAAAGUUUUAGGAAUGUGGCUCCCUCGGGAGUGUUAUAGCCUAUUGCAUAAUACCCUGCUCCGGACUGAGGUUCGCGCAUCUGCAAGGAUGCUGGCGUAAUGGUCAUCAGCGACCCGUCUUGAAACACGGACCAAGGAGUCGUCUUCGUAUGCGAGUGUUCGGGUGUUAAACCCCUACGCGUAAUGAAAGUGAACGCAGGUGAGAGCUUCGGCGCAUCAUCGACCGAUCCUGAUGUUCUCGGAUGGAUUUGAGUAAGAGCAUAC